rnacentral:lncRNA from 1 species
AUUUUCUGACAUUUGAAAAGAUCUGAAGAUACGCCCCUUGGAUGCCUGCAGAGAAGCUCUGGGGCUUCAGUCAAUGACUCAGGGUAGCCACCGAACAUGAUGCUCGGGCAGUGGGUGCCACCUGGACUCCACUCUCCCCUCUCUCUGGGAUCAUAGAGUCCAAGGUGUUCUGUGGCCUCUCGGCCAAUCCCAGCAGCUCAGCGUGCAGAAGACCGAGGAGCCAUUGGAAUUCAACACAACACGAAAUAAUCAACAAAUUCGGGGAAUGUUAAUCUGACCAUCACCAGUUACAAAUGAUGUUUCAUGCUACCUUCUAUUCCUGCCUUCAUAAAUCAAGGAAAAGAAAAAGAGAACAUAUAUCCCCCUACCUUUUGAUUUCCAACAGUCUACUGAGAGGCCAAGAUUAUUUGCAGGGAAAGAAAAGGGGAAUGCCAUCCCCACCCUCUCGCAGCUACGUGCCAGUUCCAGAGCACCUGUUCCCCUCUACUUUGAAAAGGUCAAAAUGUUUUGCCAGUAACUCCCAAAUCAUCUACAGCCAAGGAGAAAAGUGUUUCAAGACAGAGGUGCUCAAUGGUAUCAAAUACUGCCAACAGACCAAGUAAUACAUGCAUUGAAGUGUCUACUGGAUCUAGCUAUAUGAAUUUUUAAUUUAGGACACUUAGGCCAUACUGAAGCAAGGUGACAAAAUGAAUAGCUACAAUGUCUCGUGAAUCUUGGGUUUCCAUUCACCCUGGUAUUCAAGAGAAAUUCUUGCAUCAUGGAAGUUGCAGUUGGAUAGGACUUUCUCAGCUGAACACUGUCAUCUGCCAGAGCUUCAGGCAAGAACCCAGAACAGAUGAAACCCCAGACAUGACAAAAUAAGCCAAAGAAUACCAGGCCAAGGUGUGAAAGGCCAGAUGAGAACAAGCAGCGUACACGAUUCUGUUGCCAACAGAUCUCCCCUAACAGUGUCGUGCACCAAAUUUCCACAGUGAAUGUCAGGAAAAAAUGGCAAUUGAGGUGGGUGGUCAAAAGAGAAGCACAGUCUAUGAUGAAGUCACCCCAGAGAAGUCCUUUUUCCGUUUUCUCCUGAGAAAUUACCAGAAGAAAUUAAAAUCCUUUUGAGUAUUGCAAAAAAAAAAAAAAAA